rnacentral:rRNA from 1 species
ACUCCUACGGGAGGCAGCAGUGGGAAUAUUGGACAAUGGGGGGAACCCUGAUCCAGCCAUGCCGCGUGUGUGAAGAAGGCCUUAUGGUUGUAAAGCACUUUAAGCGAGGAGGAGGGUACUCUGAUUAAUACUCAGAAGUAUUGGACGUUACUCGCAGAAUAAGCACCGGCUAACUCUGUGCCAGCAGCCGCGGUAAUACAGAGGGUGCAAGCGUUAAUCGGAUUUACUGGGCGUAAAGCGCGCGUAGGCGGCACAUUAAGUUGGAUGUGAAAUCCCCGAGCUUAACUUGGGAAUUGCAUUCAAGACUGGUGAGCUAGAGUGUGGGAGAGGAUGGUAGAAUUCCAGGUGUAGCGGUGAAAUGCGUAGAGAUCUGGAGGAAUACCGGUGGCGAAGGCGGCCCCCUGGACAAAGACUGACGCUCAGGCACGAAAGCGUGGGGAGCAAACAGGAUUAGAUACCCUGGUAGGCUCUG